GCGGACGGCUCAGUAACACGUAGUCAACCUAACUCGUGGACGUGGAUAACCUCGGGAAACUGAGAAUAAACCACGAUAGAUCAUAGUGCCUGGAAUGGCUUAUGGUCCAAACAGUUUACUGCCAUGGGAUGGGACUGCGGCCUAUCAGCUUGUUGGUGAGGUAAUGGCCCACCAAGGCGAUUACAGGUACGGGCUCUGAGAGGAGAAGCCCGGAGAUGGGUACUGAGACACGGACCCAGGCCCUAUGGGGCGCAGCAGGCGAGAAACCUUAGCAAUGUGCGAAAGCACGACUGGGUCAGUCCGAGUGAUUCCUGAUAAAGGAGUCUUUUGCUUGUCCUAAAAGCACAGGUGAAUAAGGGGUGGGCAAGUCUGGUGUCAGCCGCCGCGGUAAUACCAGCACCUCGAGUGGUCAGGACGUUUAUUGGGCCUAAAGCAUCCGUAGCCGGCUUUGCAAGUCUUCGGUUAAAUCCACCUGCUCAACAGAUGGGCCGCUGGAGAUACUACAGAGCUAGGGAGUGGGAGAGGCAGACGGUAUUCAGUGGGUAGGGGUAAAAUCCUCUGAUCCAUUGAGGACCACCAGUGGCGAAGGCGGUCUGCCAGAACACGUUCGACGGUGAGGGAUGAAAGCUGGGGGAGCAAACCGGAUUAGAUACCCGGGUAGUCCCAGCUGUAACGAUGCAAACUCGGUGAUGCAUUGGCUUAUGGCCA
rnacentral:rRNA from 1 species